UGAGACACAUGAUGUAAAAACAUGGUAUCUGCCCCUGCCAGGGCAGUCUGAAAAACAAUGUAGAAGGACACCAUGCUGCCUUCCUUCUGAGGUCUCU